UGUUAUUGUUUAUGUUUUGUUUUGUGCUGAAAUGCGUUGUGAACGAUAAUCCCUGAACAAUCCCGAAUGUUCCUGAAGAUACAGGAGCAGAUUCGGGAUAUACUGUUUAGUGUUUUUUUAAUUGUGUUGUGUGUGCAGAAUAAAGUGUUAGAAAUUCAAUGUGUGCUACUUUUCAUUUUUUAAAUCCGACAGUACGGACCGGUGCAGACCGUAACAGUCUGGGCGGAAUACAAAUCCGGAUUGAAGCGAAACCUCGCUCACAACAAACGGGAGCAAAGAGCGACAGGUGGAGGACCCAAUAAAGUGAUCAAUUUAUCCGCUGGAGGAGCAGGUGGUUCAAUUACUUGCGACCGUGGAAGGAAUCCCGGAUACCUCAUCGCAUGGACCCCAGUCUGGUUCGUCUUAGGGACCACCUCAA